UGCAGUCGAACGGUGAAGAGGAGCUUGCUCCUUGGAUCAGUGGCGAACGGGUGAGUAACACGUGAGCAAUCUGCCCUUGACUCUGGGAUAACUGCGGGAAACUGUAGCUAAUACCGGAUAUUACCUUGGAAGGCAUCUUCUGGGGUGGAAAGAAUUUUGGUCAAGGAUGAGCUCGCGGCCUAUCAGCUAGUUGGUGAGGUAAUGGCUCACCAAGGCGACGACGGGUAGCCGGCCUGAGAGGGUGACCGGCCACACUGGGACUGAGACACGGCCCAGACUCCUACGGGAGGCAGCAGUGGGGAAUAUUGCACAAUGGGCGCAAGCCUGAUGCAGCAACGCCGCGUGAGGGACGACGGCCUUCGGGUUGUAAACCUCUUUUAGUAGGGAAGAAGCGACUGGGUUUUCCUGGGAGUGACGGUACCUGCAGAAAAAGCACCGGCUAACUACGUGCCAGCAGCCGCGGUAAUACGUAGGGUGCAAGCGUUGUCCGGAAUUAUUGGGCGUAAAGAGCUCGUAGGCGGUUUGUCGCGUCUGCUGUGAAAACCCGAGGCUCAACCUCGGGCCUGCAGUGGGUACGGGCAGACUAGAGUGCGGUAGGGGAGAUUGGAAUUCCUGGUGUAGCGGUGGAAUGCGCAGAUAUCAGGAGGAACACCAAUGGCGAAGGCAGAUCUCUGGGCCGUAACUGACGCUGAGGAGCGAAAGCAUGGGGAGCG
rnacentral:rRNA from 1 species